UUUCAGCAUUUGCAAAUUAAGGAGAAUUCCACUGCUAUAAGAAUAUUUUGGACUGCCCUUUGACUUACAAAGAAAGAAGUUUUGAACUAUUCACUUCCGGAGUUUUGUGUAGGGGUUUUAGAUCCUUCACUAAACAUGUGGGCACUACAAAGUUGUUAUUCCAGAAUUGCUCUUUACAAACAUGGACAGUAGGUACAUUGGAAAGGCUUCCUUUGAGAUAAUAUCCUUGGAUUAGAUGGGCAAACUAUUUACAGAUGUGAUGUUCCUGGCAGUCAAAUAUAUUUUUAUUUCCAAGAAUGCUGGUCGAAAAAUACAUACAACAGGAUGUUAAUGGUGUUUCCAGUAAAAUGUAAUAAAUUGACAUUAAGAGGGUAAAUCAGCAAGGGGAAGAAGUACAAUCCCAUUCAGCUUCUUUCUACUGGCUUUGGAAAUGGGCCGUUAGUGGAAAGGGUUAUGAUUUUAACACAUGAAACAAACAAGGUGAAAAAAUACAAAGGAUUGGAAACCUGGAGAAGUGGAGCCCCUUGGACUUGAAAGGUGCAGUUUUUAGAAAUAUGUGCAGUCCAAUUGACACCGAUGCAUAUAAAGUUACACUUGUGAUGUCUUUGUGGCUCAUUUCACCAUCAGUGGUAUUAUUUUCCUUUCACAAGCAUCUAUUGUUGAAGGUACUUCCCUGUUGUCAACGCUUAGGAAUAAAACUCUAGCAUCAUAGAGUAUACUUGAGAUCGUCCAACAGAUGAGAGGAAAUUGAAGUUCAGAUUGAUCCUAUUGAAGCAAAACUAAUAACUGGUGUUGUCUUUCUUGGACUCUAUUCUGGAUUUGCUGUUUUCAUCUUCACCUUGCAACAUUAUGCAGUUAAUUUUCAACAGAUAAGUGAGAACAAGAGGAGAUUUACUGGAAUUCCACUAAAGGAGCAAGUUUUCUUCUUUGGCAUUUCUACUGGAUUUGGUUUGCUUUUCACACCUGCAAACUUUGGAUUGUUACAGUCUAUUAUUAAUUAAGAUCGACGUUGGAGAAGACAAAGAUGACCCCAUAGUUAAAAUAGUUCUCUAUCUUGCAUGCUCUAUGUAGUAGAAUUCAUCAAGUUCGUUUUAUUCAAAUUAGUUUUUUAUUUUGCAUGUU